rnacentral:RNase_P_RNA from 1 species
AAGAGUUGGCGCAGCGGUUGCGGGCCAGGUUACCCUGGCCUGAGGAAAGUCCGGGCUCCCUAAAGACCAGACCUGCUGGGUAACGCCCAGUGCGGGUGACCGUGAGGAGAGUGCCACAGAAACAUACCGCCGAUGGCUGCGGGGCGCGAUCGCGUCGCCGCUGCACAGGUAAGGGUGCAAGGGUGCGGUAAGAGCGCACCAGCAGCAUCGAGAGGUGCUGGCUCGGUAAACCCCGGUUGGGUGCAAGGCCAUAGGGGCUAUGGUUGGUCUUUUACCAGCCCCGAUUAAGCGCGCCGCUAGAGGCGUCUGGUAACAGGCGUCCCAGAUAGAUAACCGCCUCGCUGCUAGGUCAGUGAGAACAGAACCCGGCUUAUGUCCAGCUCUUUCCG